rnacentral:lncRNA from 10 species
CAAAAGAGAGCUGGCGCCAUCUAAUUUUUGUGUGGAAAUCCGAAGAUGUCCUAAGGGCAUAGGAAGUUCAGCAAAAUGAAGGAGUGUACUCAAAGCUGAGCCCAGAUACAAACCCAGCCCUUCGUGGUUAUAAAACCUCUUCAUCUGCUGGCUUCUUGCUUUUCAGUAGAGUACCAGGGUCAGACUUCAGCCCACCUGGAAACUCA